GCACAAGCGGUGGAGCAUGUGGUUUAAUUCGACGCAACGCGAAGAACCUUACCUGGGCUCGAAAUGCUAUGGACCGGGGUAGAAAUAUCCCUUCCCCGCAAGGGGCCGUAGUAUAGGUGCUGCAUGGCUGUCGUCAGCUCGUGUCGUGAGAUGUUGGGUUAAGUCCCGCAACGAGCGCAACCCUUAUCUUCAGUUGCUACCAUUUAGUUGAGCACUCUGACGAAACCGCCUCGGAUAACGGGGAGGAAGGUGGGGAUGACGUCAAGUCCUCAUGGCCUUUAUGUCCAGGGCUACACACGUGCUACAAUGGCCGGUACAAACCGUCGCAAACCCGUGAGGGGGAGCUAAUCGGAAAAAGCCGGCCUCAGUUCGGAUUGUAGUCUGCAACUCGACUACAUGAAGCUGGAAUCGCUAGUAAUCGCGGAUCAGAACGCCGCGGUGAAUACGUUCCCGGGC
rnacentral:rRNA from 1 species